AUUAUGGUGGCAGAGCAGGUAAUUGCAUAAAACUUAAGCCUUUAUAACUAGAGGUUCAAACCUUCUCCUUAAUA
rnacentral:tRNA from 1 species